AGCAAUGCCUGAGGUUCAAAAAUAGCCACGCAGUUGUCUGGCCUCUAUCGGUAUCCACUCGAGUAGGAUCUAAAUCAUCUUUUCCUUGUGAAUCUCUGUUCCAAAAAUCAAAUCUGGAUCAGAUCUGAAAGAUCUUCAAAAGAUCUUCUGAAGCUGGAGCAGCAGCUUCUCGACAAAUCCCUAUAGCCUUCUGUUCAGAGAGCCACCAUGCCUUGGACAAGCACCAGAUGGAUGUCCAACUUCUUGGACAUGAAGAGGGG
rnacentral:lncRNA from 1 species